AGAGUUUGAUCCUGGCUCAGAUUGAACGCUGGCGGCAGGCCUAACACAUGCAAGUCGAGCGGAUGACGGGAGCUUGCUCCUUGAUUCAGCGGCGGACGGGUGAGUAAUGCCUAGGAAUCUGCUGGUAGUGGGGGACAACGUUUCGAAAGGAACGCUAAUACCGCAUACGUCCUACGGGAGAAAGCAGGGGACCUUCGGCCUUGCGCUAUCAGAUGAGCCUAGGUCGGAUUAGCUUGUUGGUGAGGUAAUGGCUCACCAAGGCGACGAUCCGUAACUGGUCUGAGAGGAUGAUCAAGUCACACUGGAACUGAGACACGGUCCAGACUCCUACGGGAGGCAGCAGUGGGGAAUAUUGGACAAUGGGCGAAAGCCUGAUCCAGCCAUGCCGCGUGUGUGAAGAAGGUCUUCGGAUUGUAAAGCACUUUAAGUUGGGAGGAAGGGUUGUAGAUUAAUACUCUGCAAUUUUGCGUUACCGACAGAAUAAGCACCGCUACUCUGUNCAGCAGCCGCGGUAAUACAGAGGGUGCAAGCGUUAAUCGGAAUUACUGGCGUAAACCCCCCUANGUGGUUUGUAAGUUGAUGUGAACCCGGCUCAACUGGGACUGAUUCAAACUGCAACUAAAUCCGNNAAAGNGGNGAAUUCUGUUCGGGAAUNCUAAUUAGAAGACACACGCAAGCACACUNCUGUCUCCUNGUG
rnacentral:rRNA from 1 species